UCUCCUGAAGAGUCAUUUCCCACAAUAACCCCUCACAAUUGGCUCAUAAUCUUUCCUGGAAUGAGAUGUUUGUUAGCAUAGGAGGGACCGAGAAGCCAGAGAAACAAAGCUCCCACCUAAGGUGCCAGAGUUUAUUGACCCAUUCAUCUUUUGGAGGACAUCUUGGUUGCUUCCAAGUUUGGGCAAUUGUGCAGGUGGAAUGAAUGAGGACGUUACUGCUCAGCCUCUGCAGUAAAUAAUUGAACUGUUUUCAAGUGCUCGGUGGAAACAAUGAUCUGGAAAGGGAGGCUUUCUCUAUGCUGACAAUACACUGAUAAAUGAGGGGAGACUCUUCCUUAUAGGAGGUGCUGACUGAUA